rnacentral:rRNA from 1 species
GACGAACGCUGGCGGCGUGCUUAACACAUGCAAGUCGAACGGAAAGGCCCUGCUUUUGUGGGGUGCUCGAGUGGCGAACGGGUGAGUAACACGUGAGUAACCUGCCCUUGACUUUGGGAUAACUUCAGGAAACUGGGGCUAAUACCGGAUAGGAGCUCCUGCUGCAUGGUGGGGGUUGGAAAGUUUCGGCGGGGGGGGGUGGACGCGCGGCUUAUCAGCUUGUUGGUGGGGUAGUGGCUUACCAAGGCUUUGACGGGUAGCCGGCCUGAGAGGGUGACCGGACACGUGUGGACUGGAAUACGGCCCGGGCGCCGGCGGUGGGGAGCAGGGGGGAAGCUGGCAGGAUGGGCGCCGGCCUGGUGCAGCCACGCCCAGGGGCGGAGGACGGCCUUCGGAUGGUAGACACAUUGCGCUAGGGACGAAUCUUGUCGUGACGGGACCUAGACAAGAGGCACGGGCUAGCUACGUG